UGGUGUACAGUUCUAGUGUACCU
rnacentral:snRNA from 1 species